rnacentral:rRNA from 1 species
AUUGAACGCUGGCGGCAUGCCUUACACAUGCAAGUCGAACGGCAGCGUGGACUUCGGUCUGGCGGCGAGUGGCGAACGGGUGAGUAAUGUAUCGGAACGUACCAUUCAGUGGGGGAUAACGCAGCGAAAGUUGCGCUAAUACCGCAUAUUCUGUGCGCAGGAAAGCAGGGGAUCGCAAGACCUUGCGCUGAUUGAGCGGCCGAUAUCAGAUUAGCUAGUUGGUGAGGUAAAGGCUCACCAAGGCGACGAUCUGUAGCGGGUCUGAGAGGAUGAUCCGCCACACUGGAACUGAGACACGGUCCAGAUUCCUACGGGAGGCAGCAGUGGGGAAUUUUGGACAAUGGGCGCAAGCCUGAUCCAGCCAUGCCGCGUGAGUGAAGAAGGCCUUCGGGUUGUAAAGCUCUUUCGGCCGGGAAGAAAUCGUAUGGGUUAAUACCCUGUGCGGAUGACGGUACCGGCAUAAGAAGCACCGGCUAACUACGUGCCAGCAGCCGCGGUAAGAC